rnacentral:rRNA from 1 species
AUUGAACGCUGGCGGCAUGCUUUACACAUGCAAGUCGAACGGCAGCGCGGGCUUCGGCCUGGCGGCGAGUGGCGAAUGGGUGAGUAAUGCAUCGGAACGUGCCCAGUAGUGGGGGAUAGCCCGGCGAAAGCCGGAUUAAUACCGCAUACGACCUGAGGGUGAAAGCGGGGGACCGAAAGGCCUCGCGCUAUUGGAGCGGCCGAUGUCGGAUUAGCUAGUUGGUGGGGUAAAGGCUUACCAAGGCGACGAUCCGUAACUGGUCUGAGAGGACGACCAGCCACACUGGGACUGAGACACGGCCCAGACUCCUACGGGAGGCAGCAGUGGGGAAUUUUGGACAAUGGGGGCAACCCUGAUCCAGCCAUGCCGCGUGCGGGAAGAAGGCCUUCGGGUUGUAAACCGCUUUUGUUCGGGAAGAAAUCCUCUGGGCUAAUACCCCGGGGGGAUGACGGUACCGGAAGAAUAAGCACCGGCUAACUACGUG